AGAGUUUGAUCCUGGCUCAGAUUGAACGCUGGCGGCAGGCCUAACACAUGCAAGUCGAGCGGAUGAGUGGAGCUUGCUCCAUGAUUCAGCGGCGGACGGGUGAGUAAUGCCUAGGAAUCUGCCUGGUAGUGGGGGACAACGUUUCGAAAGGAACGCUAAUACCGCAUACGUCCUACGGGAGAAAGCAGGGGACCUUCGGGCCUUGCGCUAUCAGAUGAGCCUAGGUCGGAUUAGCUAGUUGGUGAGGUAAAGGCUCACCAAGGCGACGAUCCGUAACUGGUCUGAGAGGAUGAUCAGUCACACUGGAACUGAGACACGGUCCAGACUCCUACGGGAGGCAGCAGUGGGGAAUAUUGGACAAUGGGCGAAAGCCUGAUCCAGCCAUGCCGCGUGUGUGAAGAAGGUCUUCGGAUUGUAAAGCACUUUAAGUUGGGAGGAAGGGCAGUAAGUUAAUACCUUGCUGUUUUGACGUUACCGACAGAAUAAGCACCGGCUAACUUCGUGCCAGCAGCCGCGGUAAUACGAAGGGGUGCAAGCGUUAAUCGGAAUUACUGAACGUAAAGCGCGCGUAGGUGGUUCAGCAAGUUGGAUGUGAAAGCCCCGGGCUCAACCUGGGAACUGCAUCCAAAACUACUGAGCUAGAGUACGGUAGAGGGUGGUGGAAUUUUCUGUGUAGCGGUGAAAUGCGUAGAUAUAGGAAGGAAACACCAGUGGCGAAGGCGACCACCUGGGACUGAUCUGACACUGAGGUGCC
rnacentral:rRNA from 1 species